rnacentral:rRNA from 1 species
GACGAACGCUGGCGGCGUGCUUAACACAUGCAAGUCGAACGGAAAGGCCCUGCUUGCAGGGUGCUCGAGUGGCGAACGGGUGAGUAACACGUGGGUGAUCUGCCCCUUACUUUGGGAUAAGCCUGGGAAACUGGGUCUAAUACUGGAUAGGACCAUGCUGUAGGUGGUGUGGUGGAAAGAUUAGUUUCGGUAAGGGAUGAGCUCGCGGCCUAUCAGCUUGUUGGUGGGGUAAUGGCCUACCAAGGCGUCGACGGGUAGCCGGCCUGAGAGGGUGGGCGGCCACAUUGGGACUGAGAUACGGCCCAGACUCCUACGGGAGGCAGCAGUGGGGAAUAUUGCACAAUGGGCGCAAGCCUGAUGCAGCGACGCCGCGUGGGGGAUGACGGCCUUCGGGUUGUAAACUCCUUUCGGCCAUGACGAAGCCCUUGUGGUGACGGUAGUGGUAGAAGAAGCACCGGCUAACUACGUG